rnacentral:rRNA from 1 species
AAAUUGAAGAGUUUGAUCAUGGCUCAGAUUGAACGCUGGCGGCAGGCCUAACACAUGCAAGUCGAACGGUAACAGGAAGCAGCUUGCUGCUUYGCUGACGAGUGGCGGACGGGUGAGUAAUGUCUGGGAAACUGCCUGAUGGAGGGGGAUAACUACUGGAAACGGUGGCAACUACUGGAAACGGUGGC